UAGCUCAGAUUGAACGCUGGCGGCAGGCCUAACACAUGCAAGUCGAGCGGUAGCACAGAGAGCUUGCUCUCGGGUGACGAGCGGCGGACGGGUGAGUAAUGUCUGGGAAACUGCCUGAUGGAGGGGGAUAACUACUGGAAACGGUAGCUAAUACCGCAUAANGUCGCAAGACCAAAGUGGGGGACCUUCGGGCCUCAUGCCAUCAGAUGUGCCCAGAUGGGAUUAGCUAGUAGGUGGGGUAACGGCUCACCUAGGCGACGAUCCCUAGCUGGUCUGAGAGGAUGACCAGCCACACUGGAACUGAGACACGGUCCAGACUCCUACGGGAGGCAGCAGUGGGGAAUAUUGCACAAUGGGCGCAAGCCUGAUGCAGCCAUGCCGCGUGUGUGAAGAAGGCCUUCGGGUUGUAAAGCACUUUCAGCGGGGAGGAAGGCGNUNAGGUUAAUAACCUNNNCGAUUGACGUUACCCGCAGAAGAAGCACCGGCUAACUCCGUGCCAGCAGCCGCGGUAAUACGGAGGGUGCAAGCGUUAAUCGGAAUUACUGGGCGUAAAGCGCACGCAGGCGGUCUGUCAAGUCGGAUGUGAAAUCCCCGGGCUCAACCUGGGAACUGCAUUCGAAACUGGCAGGCUAGAGUCUUGUAGAGGGGGGUAGAAUUCCAGGUGUAGCGGUGAAAUGCGUAGAGAUCUGGAGGAAUACCGGUGGCGAAGGCGGCCCCCUGGACAAAGACUGACGCUCAGGUGCGAAAGCGUGGGGAGCAAACAGGAUUAGAUACCCUGGUAGUCCACGCCGUAAACGAUGUCGAUUUGGAGGUUGUGCCCUUGAGGCGUGGCUUCCGGAGCUAACGCGUUAAAUCGACCGCCUGGGGAGUACGGCCGCAAGGUUAAAACUCAAAUGAAUUGACGGGGGCCCGCACAAGCGGUGGAGCAUGUGGUUUAAUUCGAUGCAACGCGAAGAACCUUACCUGGUCUUGACAUCCACAGAACUUUCCAGAGAUGGAUUGGUGCCUUCGGGAACUGUGAGACAGGUGCUGCAUGGCUGUCGUCAGCUCGUGUUGUGAAAUGUUGGGUUAAGUCCCGCAACGAGCGCAACCCUUAUCCUUUGUUGCCAGCGGUNCGGCCGGGAACUCAAAGGAGACUGCCAGUGAUAAACUGGAGGAAGGUGGGGAUGACGUCAAGUCAUCAUGGCCCUUACGACCAGGGCUACACACGUGCUACAAUGGCAUAUACAAAGAGAAGCGACCUCGCGAGAGCAAGCGGACCUCAUAAAGUAUGUCGUAGUCCGGAUUGGAGUCUGCAACUCGACUCCAUGAAGUCGGAAUCGCUAGUAAUCGUAGAUCAGAAUGCUACGGUGAAUACGUUCCCGGGCCUUGUACACACCGCCCGUCACACCAUGGGAGUGGGUUGCAAAAGAAGUAGGUAGCUUAACCUUCGGGAGGGCGCUUACCACUUUGUGAUUCAUGACUGGGGUGAGUC
rnacentral:rRNA from 1 species